UAUUUUUUUAUAUUUUAGAAGACUACUGGAAGCUUAUAUCUAUGCAUAAUGAGAUUUAUUAUCCAAUUUAUAAAAUUUGGUUAGGUCCAUUUGCCUUUGUCAACAUUUGUCAUCCGGAUGAUUUAAAAAAAAUAUUAGGCAGUACAGAACAUCAUCUUGAAAAGGGUUAUUUACAUAUUCUAUUACAAUCUUGGUUGGGAACUGGACUAAUAACUAGUAAAGG